GACGAACGCUGGCGGCGUGCUUAACACAUGCAAGUCGAACGAUGAAAGAGGAGCUUGCUCCUCUGGAUUAGUGGCGAACGGGUGAGUAACACGUGAGCAGUCUGCCCCUGACUCCGGAAUAACUACGGGAAACUGUAGCUAAUACCGGAUAUGCGCCGAACAGGCAUCUGUAUCGGUGGGAAAGAAUUUCGGUCAGGGAUGAGCUCGCGGCCUAUCAGCUUGUUGGUGAGGUAACGGCUCACCAAGGCGACGACGGGUAGCCGGCCUGAGAGGGUGACCGGCCACAUUGGGACUGAGACACGGCCCAGACUCCUACGGGAGGCAGCAGUGGGGAAUAUUGCACAAUGGGCGCAAGCCUGAUGCAGCAACGCCGCGUGAGGGAUGACGGCCUUCGGGUUGUAAACCUCUUUUAGCAGGGAAGAAGCGAAAGUGACGGUACCUGCAGAAAAAGCGCCGGCUAACUACGUG
rnacentral:rRNA from 1 species